rnacentral:rRNA from 1 species
AACGAACGCUGGCGGCAUGCCUAACACAUGCAAGUCGAACGAGACCUUCGGGUCUAGUGGCGCACGGGUGCGUAACGCGUGGGAACCUGCCCUUAGGUUCGGAAUCACUCCCCGAAAGGGGUGCUAAUACCGGCUAAUGUCUUCUGCCCACAGGUUUAUCGCCUUUGGAUGGGCCCGCGUUGGAUUAGCUAGUUGGUAGGGUAAAAGCCUACCAAGGCGACGAUCCAUAGCUGGUCUGAGAGGAUGAUCAGCCACACUGGGACUGAGACACGGCCCAGACUCCUACGGGAGGCAGGAGUGGGGAAUAUUGGAAAAUGGGCGAAAGCCUGAUGCAGCAAGGCUGGGUGAGUGAUGAAGGACUUAGGGUUGUAAAGCUCUUUUACACGGGAUGAUAAUGACAGUACCGGGAGAAUAAGCUCCGGCUAACUCCGUG